UACGGGGGAUGCAAGUGUUAUCCGGAAUCACUGGGCGUAAAGCGUCUGCAGGUGGUUUUUUAAGUCCACUGUUAAACCUUGAGGCUCAACCUCGAAUCUGCAUUGGAAACUAGGAGACUUGAGUAUAGUAGGGGUAGAGGGAAUUUCCAGUGGAGCGGUGAAAUGCGUAGAUAUUGGAAAGAACACCGAUGGCGAAGGCGCUCUACUGGGCUAUUACUGACACUCAGAGACGAAAGCUAGGGGAGCAAAUGGG
rnacentral:rRNA from 1 species